rnacentral:lncRNA from 1 species
AGGGCCACCAUCGUCUGGAGGGCCACCGUUGUCACCCGGAGAGCCAUUGUCACCCAGAGGGCCACUAUCAUCUCGAGGGCCACCGCCCUCUGCAAGUCCCUUGUCACCUGGAGGGCCACCAUCCCAUGGAAGGACAUUGUCACCUGGAGGAGGGCUGUUGUCACCUGGAGGGCCGUUGUCACUCAGAGGGCCACCACCCUCUGGAGGCCCAUUGUCACCCGCAGAGCUGUUGUCACUUGGAGGGCCACCACCCUCUGGAGGCCCCUUGUCACCUGGAAGGCCACCCUCACCUUGAGGGCCAUCGUCACCUGGAGGGCCACCAUCGACAGCGGGACUGAGGCCACCCAAGAGGCCACCUUCACCCCCGCCUCCUUGUCACCCGUGGGGCCACCUUCCCCCCUGGAGGAGGAGCCCUUGUCCCCAACGGGUGGCCCUGACCUGGCCCUGGAGGAGCUGGAUGUCACCAAGCUGGCCUUGGCCGCCAGGCUCUUGGGGACAUCGGGGGGGACAACGGCGGGGGGUGACAGCAGCGAGGAGGAGCAGGAGGAGGAUGAAGGUGGCGGUGGUGGCCCUCGUGGUGGCCACCACACUGGCCCUCGUGGUGGCCGCUACUACCGCUACACCCGCACGGUGGUGACAUGGAGACCAGCCUGUCCCUUCCCCCUGCCACCCCACAUCCACCAGUUGGACGGGGUGGACGAUGGUGGGGACAAGGGACAAGGAAGGGACAAGGGGCCACCACCCCCACCCUCGGGGCCACCACCCCCCGGUGAGGACCUUCCCUCCGACAUCGUGGACUUUGUCCUGAAGAACACAGCAGGGGGUGGUGGCACCAAGGGGACAACCGGCGGUGACGUCAACAGAGGGGGUGGCACCUCAUGGGUCACCCCCCAGGAGGUGGGAGGAGGAGGAGGUGGCACCCAUAGGGACGCGGUGGGUGGCCUUGGCCGUCACCGGGGAGAUGACACCUACAGGGACAGCCUUGGUGGCCAUGGUGGCCCUGGAGAUGGCACCCAUGGAGAUGGCACCCACAGACACGUCCUUGGUGGCCCUGGAGAUGUCACCUGUGGAGAUGGCACCCACGGACACCUUCUUCUUGAUGGCCCUGGUGGCCACGGUGGCCCUGGAGGUGUCACCUAUGGAGGUGGCACCCAUGGAGAUGAUG